UCCUGGGAGUGUAGCUCAGUGGCAGAAUGCUUGCCUAGUAUGCAAAAGGCCCUGGGUUCAAUUCCCAGUACGGGAA